GCAGCAGUGGGGAAUAUUGGACAAUGGGCGCAAGCCUGAUCCAGCCAUGCCGCGUGGGUGAAGAAGGCCUUCGGGUUGUAAAGCCCUUUUGUUGGGAAAGAAAAGCAAUCGGUUAAUACCCGGUUGUUCUGACGGUACCCAAAGAAUAAGCACCGGCUAACUUCGUGCCAGCAGCCGCGGUAAUACGAAGGGUGCAAGCGUUACUCGGAAUUACUGGGCGUAAAGCGUGCGUAGGUGGUGAUUUAAGUCCGUUGUGAAAGCCCUGGGCUCAACCUGGGAAUUGCAGUGGAUACUGGGUCACUAGAAUGUGGUAGAGGGUAGCGGAAUUCCUGGUGUAGCAGUGAAAUGCGUAGAGAUCAGGAGGAACAUCCGUGGCGAAGGCGGCUACCUGGACCAACAUUGACACUGAGGCACGAAAGCGUGGGGAGCAAACAGGAUUAGAUACCCUGGUAGUCCACGCCCUAAACGAUGCGAACUGGAUGUUGGGUGCAACUUGGCACGCAGUAUCGAAGCUAACGCGUUAAGUUCGCCGCCUGGGGAGUACGGUCGCAAGACUGAAACUCAAAGGAAUUGACGGGGGCCCGCACAAGCGGUGGAGUAUGUGGUUUAAUUCGAUGCAACGCGAAGAACCUUACCUGGUCUUGACAUCCACGGAACUUUCCAGAGAUGGAUUGGUGCCUUCGGGAACCGUGAGACAGGUGCUGCAUGGCUGUCGUCAGCUCG
rnacentral:rRNA from 1 species